rnacentral:rRNA from 1 species
UACGGGGGGGGCAAGCGUUGUUCGGAAUUACUGGGCGUAAAGGGCUCGUAGGUGGCCAACUAAGUCAGACGUGAAAUCCCUCGGCUUAACCGGGGAACUGCGUCUGAUACUGGAUGGCUAGAGUUUGGGAGAGGGAUGCGGAAUUCCAGGUGUAGCGGUGAAAUGCGUAGAUAUCUGGAGGAACACCGGUGGCGAAGGCGGCGUCCUGGACCAACACUGACACUGAAAAGCGAAAGCCAGGGGAGCAAACGGG